rnacentral:rRNA from 1 species
UGGAUCCAGACUUUGAUUAUGGCUCAGGACGAACGCUGGCGGCGUGCCUAAUACAUGCAAGUCGAACGGAGAUAUACGCUGAAGAGUAGUUCGCUAUGAUUCUUGUGUAUCUUAGUGGCGGACGGGUGGGUAACGCGUGAGCAACCUGCCUUUCAGAGGGGGAUAACGUUUGGAAACGAACGCUAAUACCGCAUGAUACUGCGCUAUCGCAUGGUGGAGCAGUCAAAGGAGCAAUCCGCUGAAAGAUGGGCUCGCGUCCGAUUAGGUAGUUGGCGGGGCAACGGCCCACCAAGCCGACGAUCGGUAGCCGGACUGAGAGGUUGGACGGCCACAUUGGGACUGAGACACGGCCCAGACUCCUACGGGAGGCAGCAGUAAGGGAUAUUGGUCAAUGGGGGAAACCCUGAACCAGCAACGCCGCGUGAGGGAAGACGGUUUUCGGAUUGUAAACCUCUGUCCUCUGUGAAGAUGAUGACGGUAGCAGAGGAGGAAGCUCCGGCUAACUACGUGCCAGCAGCCGCGGUAAUACGUAGGGAGCGAGCGUUGUCCGGAAUUACUGGGUGUAAAGGGUGCGUAGGCGGCUCUGUAAGUCAGAAGUGAAAUCCAUGGGCUUAACCCAUGAACUGCUUUUGAAACUGUGGAGCUUGAGUGAAGUAGAGGUAGGCGGAAUUCCCGGUGUAGCGGUGAAAUGCGUAGAGAUCGGGAGGAACACCAGUGGCGAAGGCGGCCUACUGGGCCUUAACUGACGCUGAGGCACGAAAGCGUGGGUAGCAAACAGGAUUAGAUACCCUGGUAGUCCACGCUGUAAACGAUGAUUACUAGGUGUGGGUGGACUGACCCCAUCCGUGCCGGAGUUAACACAAUAAGUAAUCCACCUGGGGAGUACGGCCGCAAGGCUGCAACUCAAAGGAAUUGACGGA